GAUGAACGCUGGCGGCGUGCUUAACACAUGCAAGUCGAACGGUGAAGCCAAGCUUGCUUGGUGGAUCAGUGGCGAACGGGUGAGUAACACGUGAGCAACCUGCCCUGGACUCUGGGAUAAGCGCUGGAAACGGCGUCUAAUACUGGAUAUGAGCCUCUUCUGCAUGGUGGGGGUUGGAAAGAUUUUUUGGUCUGGGAUGUGCUCGCGGCCUAUCAGCUUGUUGGUGAGGUAAUGGCUCACCAAGGCGUCGACGGGUAGCCGGCCUGAGAGGGUGACCGGCCACACUGGGACUGAGACACGGCCCAGACUCCUACGGGAGGCAGCAGUGGGGAAUAUUGCACAAUGGGCGAAAGCCUGAUGCAGCAACGCCGCGUGAGGGAUGACGGCCUUCGGGUUGUAAACCUCUUUUAGCAGGGAAGAAGCGAAAGUGACGGUACCUGCAGAAAAAGCGCCGGCUAACUACGUG
rnacentral:rRNA from 1 species